rnacentral:tRNA from 1 species
GCCUGGCUGGCUCAGUCAGUAGAGCAUGAGAUUCUUGAUCUCAGGGUCGUGAGUUCAAGCCCCAUGGCGGCA